UACAGAGGUCCCAAGCGUUGUUCGGAUUCAUUGGGCGUAAAGGGCGUGUAGGUGGCGCCGUAAGUCGGGUGUGAAAUUUCGGAGCUUAACUCCGAACCUGCAUUCGAUACUGCGGUGCUUGAGGACUGGAGAGGAGACUGGAAUUCAUGGUGUAGCAGUGAAAUGCGUAGAGAUCAUGAGGAAGACCAGUGGCGAAGGCGGGUCUCUGGACAGUUCCUGACACUGAGACACGAAGGCCAGGGGAGCAAACGGG
rnacentral:rRNA from 1 species